CGGCAUUGGCGGAGGCUAUAAUGCGAGUCGAACGUGUCCUUCGUGGAUUAGCGCCUUACGGGUGAGUAACACGUGGGAACGUGCCCUUUGGUUCGGAACAACUCAGGGAAACUUGAGCUAAUACCGGAUGUGCCCUUCGGGGGAAAGAUUUAUCGCCAUUGGAGCGGCCCGCGUCUGAUUAGCUAGUUGGUGGGGUAAAGGCCCACCAAGGCGACGAUCAGUAGCUGGUCUGAGAGGAUGAUCAGCCACAUUGGGACUGAGACACGGCCCAAACUCCUACGGGAGGCAGCAGUGGGGAAUCUUGCGCAAUGGGCGAAAGCCUGACGCAGCCAUGCCGCGUGAAUGAUGAAGGUCUUAGGAUUGUAAAAUUCUUUCACCGGGGACGAUAAUGACGGUACCCGGAGAAGAAGCCCCGGCUAACUUCGUGCCAGCAGCCGCGGUAAUACGAAGGGGGCUAGCGUUGCUCGGAAUUACUGGGCGUAAAGGGAGCGUAGGCGGACUGUUUAGUCAGAGGUGAAAGCCCAGGGCUCAACCUUGGAAUUGCCUUUGAUACUGGCAGUCUUGAGUACGGAAGAGGUAUGUGGAACUCCGAGUGUAGAGGUGAAAUUCGUAGAUAUUCGGAAGAACACCAGUGGCGAAGGCGACAUACUGGUCCGUUACUGACGCUGAGGCUCGAAAGCGUGGGGAGCAAACAGGAUUAGAUACCCUGGUAGUCCACGCCGUAAACGAUGAGUGCUAGUUGUCGGCAUGCAUGCAUGUCGGUGACGCAGCUAACGCAUUAAGCACUCCGCCUGGGGGAG
rnacentral:rRNA from 1 species